rnacentral:lncRNA from 1 species
AUGUGUUUUUUGAGUUAUAUACCUCAGUUUUGUUUUCAUUCCAUCAUCAGGUCUAUUUUAUCUUCAAAAGAUAUUUUCGAAUGGAAAGAAGGAUUAAAAUUUUUGCCAAAUUUGGGACCAGGAAGAAAUUUCCACCGCAUUCCCAUGACUUGGAUUGUGGUGGAUCCUUUCACUUCCUCUGAAUCAACAAAGACGGGAUCAUCAGGUAGGCAUACCUCACUCAGAAGUUUUCUUUCAUUUGCUAGGUGCUGUACUAAAAGCAAAUUGAAAAUUUGUAUUUUUGACCUAGUUUUCAUCCUGCUCUAGAAUAUGUAUUCAGUACUUCAGAGAACAGCAUACCAUUUCUAAAUAACAUCAUUCCAGCCUCAGUUAAAAAAUUACUAAUAAUGCUAUUAACUAUAGAGGAAAAAAAUCUGCAUUAUAUUUUCAGGUCAGUUUCCUAAAAGCCUGAUGUAAUUCCAUUAUCUAUUUUCAACUACAGUAACUCCUCGCUUAACAUUGUAGUUAUGUUCCUGAAAAAUGCUACUUUAAGUGAAACAAUGUUAAGUGAAUCCAAUUUCCCCAUAAGAAUUAAUGUAAAUUGUGGGGGUUAGGUUCCAGGGAAUUUUUUUUCGCCAGACAAAAGACUAUUUCUGUGUGUGUAUAUGUGUGUGUGUGUGUAUACAUAUAUAUAUAUACACACACAUAUACACAGUAUAUGUUUUAAACAAUUUAAUACU